rnacentral:rRNA from 1 species
UACGAAGGGGGCUAGCGUUGCUCGGAAUCACUGGGCGUAAAGGGUGCGUAGGCGGGUCUUUAAGUCAGGGGUGAAAUCCUGGAGGUCAACUCCAGAACUGCCUUUGAUACUGAGGAUCUUGAGUCCGGGAGAGGUGAGUGGAACUGCGAGUGUAGAGGUGAAAUUCGUAGAUAUUCGCAAGAACACCAGUGGCGAAGGCGGCUCACUGGCCCGGUACUGACGCUGAGGUGCGAAAGCGUGGGGAGCAAACAGG